rnacentral:rRNA from 1 species
UCCAGACUCCUACGGGAGGCAGCAGUGAGGAAUAUUGGUCAAUGGCUGCAGGGCUGAACCAGCCAAGUCGCGUGAGGGAUGACGGUCCUAUGGAUUGUAAACCUCUUUUGUCAGGGAGCAAAGGGCGCCACGUGUGGCGUUUUGCGAGUACCUGAAGAAAAAGCAUCGGCUAACUCCGUGCCAGCAGCCGCGGUAAUACGGAGGAUGCGAGCGUUAUCCGGAUUUAUUGGGUUUAAAGGGUGCGCAGGCGGAAUGUCAAGUCAGCGGUAAAAUUUCGGGGCUCAACCCCGUCGUGCCGUUGAAACUGGUUUUCUAGAGUUGGAGAGAAGUAUGCGGAAUGCGCGGUGUAGCGGUGAAAUGCAUAGAUAUCGCGCAGAACUCCGAUUGCGAAGGCAGCAUGCCGGCUCCACACUGACGCUGAGGCACGAAAGCGUGGGUAUCGAACAGGAUUAGAUACCCGCGUAUA